CUCUGCCCCUGGCCGGCCUUCUCCUCGCCCAUUUACAUUCCUAGCCGGGUGCCUCCAUUCCUAGGUCGCUAUCUGCGACCUCAGGCAGGGCUCUUCUCCAGGCGCCUCUGUGAGGCCUCUUUAGGUGGGGAUGAGGGGGGACCACCAAGAUACUGCCCCCCUGACUCAGGGCCCAGUGCUCCUCCACUCCCCGCUGUCCUCCUCCACACCCACCCCUCCUCCUCCCUGUGGGGUCCCCUCAACACGUGCUCUGCUCCACCUGACCCUCCACAGGUGCGCCACUCAUGGGGGAAGAUGGAACGGGGCGUCGGUGCCUUCUCGCUUCUGUCACCGCAGACUUCCUAUAAAUGUGGUCAUACUCUACGCUUCCUUUGUGUAAGGCUCCUUUCACUCAGGGCAAUGUUUCUGAGGUUCACCUUUACUGUGGGCAGCGGCAGCUCGUUCCUUCCCGUUGCACGCAUCAGAGAGUGGAACUCUGUGUCAUCGGGUAGGCAUCGUUUAGUUCUCCAAGAAACUCCCAGACCUUUUCCCAAAACGGUUGUCCCAUUUCACGUUCCCACCAACAACGUCUGAGAUUUCCAGCUCCACAUCCUCAGAAAUCUUUAAUGCUGUCAGGGGAGAACGUGAACACAGAGCAGUCCCCUCCUAGGACACGUGGGGAAAUCACAGGGGUGAGCAUUGGAUGAGCCUUGUCCUGGGGAAACCACCUUUGUGAUCACGGCAUCUCAUCUGCCAGACUCUUCAAGGUGUGAAAAUUAAUAAAGGGAAACCUUACACAAAAUGGAGUGGGGAGGCCAGAAGGGGGAGCCCUCAGCACUACCGCUCUGCGUCAAUUCCAGGAAAGAUCGUCCGUCACAGGCCCCGGAAGAGACGUCCACUGCCUUCCAGACAAGAAAGACCACUCCAGCAACCCAGCCAACGAGAAACAGUCACCACCCUGAACAAGACCUUGUUUUCCACCAAUGGGCUUCUGUUCAAAACAACCCUCCCAACUUCCUCCUUUUUCUCUAUAAAAUAAAGUCCCUCUCCUUUGUGUGCUAGACUUGACUGUGGCUUUUGCUAUAGUGUGCUUGUCCCAAAUUGCAAUUCCUUUCCUAUUCCCAAAUAAACUGAUUUUGC
rnacentral:lncRNA from 1 species